GACGUAGGGGGCAAGCGUUGUUCGGAAUUAUUGGGCGUAAAGCGCUCGUAGGCGGGACAGGAAGUUCGUGUUGAAAGACCUCGGCUCAACUGAGGGACCGGCUCGAAUACUCUUGUUCUUGAGGCAAUCAGAGGGUGAUGGAAUUCCCGGUGUAGCGGUGGAAUGCGCAGAUAUCAGGAGGAACACCGAUGGCGAAGGCAGGUCUCUGGGCCGAUACUGACGCUGAGGAGCGAAAGCGUGGGGAGCGAACAGG
rnacentral:rRNA from 1 species